AGAGUUUGAUCCUGGCUCAGAACGAACGCUGGCGGCGCGCCUAAUACAUGCAAGUCGAGCGAGAAGACGUAGCAAUACGUUUGUAAAGCGGCGAACGGGUGAGGAAUGCAUGGGUAACCUACCCUCGAGUGGGGAAUAACUAGCCGAAAGGUUAGCUAAUACCGCAUACGAUUCCCGGACUGCGGUUCGGGAGGGAAAGCGAUACCGUGGGUAUCGCGCUCUUGGAUGGGCUCAUGUCCUAUCAGCUUGUUGGUGAGGUAAUGGCUCACCAAGGCUUCGACGGGUAGCUGGUCUGAGAGGACGAUCAGCCACACUGGCACUGCGACACGGGCCAGACUCCUACGGGAGGCAGCAGUAAGGAAUAUUGCGCAAUGGACGAAAGUCUGACGCAGCGACGCCGCGUGGGGGAUGAAGGUCUUCGGAUUGUAAACCCCUUUCGGCAGGGAAGAUGGAACGGGUAACCGUUCGGACGGUACCUGCAGAAGCAGCCACGGCUAACUUCGUGCCAGCAGCCGCGGUAAUACGAAGGUGGCAAGCGUUGUUCGGAUUCACUGGGCGUACAGGGAGCGUAGGCGGUUGGGUAAGCCCUCCGUGAAAUCUCCGGGCCUAACCCGGAAAGUGCAGAGGGGACUGCUCGGCUAGAGGAUGGGAGAGGAGCGCGGAAUUCCCGGUGUAGCGGUGAAAUGCGUAGAGAUCGGGAGGAAGGCCGGUGGCGAAGGCGGCGCUCUGGAACAUUUCUGACGCUGAGGCUCGAAAGCGUGGGGAGCAAACAGGAUUAGAUACCCUGGUAGUCCACGCCUUAAACUAUGGAUACUAAGUGUCGGCGGUUUACCGCCGGUGCCGCAGCUAACGCAGUAAGUAUCCCGCCUGGGAAGUACGGCCGCAAGGUUGAAACUCAAAGGAAUUGACGG
rnacentral:rRNA from 1 species